GGGGGCAACCCCCGGUAGCGUGGCAGACGGGUGAGUAACACGUGGGUAACCUGCCCGGAGGUGGGGGAUAACCCUUCGAAAGGGGGGCUAAUACCGACCAUGACGUCCCGAAGUCCUCGGACUUUGGGACCAAAGCUGGCCUCUGCUUGCAAGCUAGCGCCACCGGAGGGGCCCGCGUCCCAUUAGCUAGUUGGUGAGGUAAUGGCUCACCAAGGCUACGAUGGGUAGCCGGCCUGAGAGGGCGACCGGCCACACUGGAACUGAGACACGGUCCAGACUCCUACGGGAGGCAGCAGUGAGGAAUCUUGCGCAAUGGGCGAAAGCCUGACGCAGCGACGCCGCGUGGAGGAUGAAGGUCUUCGGAUCGUAAACUCCUGUCGAGCGGGACGAAUCCCGGUGCGUGAAUAACGCCCCGGGUUGACGGUACCGCUGGAGGAAGCCCCGGCUAACUCCGUGCCAGCAGCCGCGGUAAUACGGAGGGGGCCAGCGUUGUUCGGAAUCAUUGGGCGUAAAGGGCGCCUAGGCGGCCAAGCAAGUCGGAUGUGAAAGCCCCCGGCUCAACCGGGGAAUUGCACCCGAUACUGCAUGGCUCGAGACCUGGAGAGGGUAGCGGAAUUCCCAGUGUAGCGGUGAAAUGCGUAGAUACUGGGAGGAACACCGGUGGCGAAGGCGGCUACCUGGACAGGUACUGACGCUGACGCGCGAAAGCGUGGGGAGCAAACAGGAUUAGAUACCCUGGUAGUCCACGCCGUAAACGAUGGGC
rnacentral:rRNA from 1 species